GCUCUGCUAAAUUUUAUCCUUUCUGCUGAAAGACGAUUUGGCUCCCAGUGCUGGAAUAGCUCCCGUUACUAAAGACAGUUAUGUGACACUUGCAUGGCUCUGUUUGCUUCCCCUAUAUGCCCUUUAAGUGCAUGCCUCUACGCAGCUCUACGCACCGAGAAGAAAAUGCAGACAGAUGCCUCAUGGCGCUUUAAAAAAGAAACGUCCCGACUUUACGAUAAAGGAAAUCUGUGCUGCAACGUACAGUGGGGUGUCUUUGGUGUUUUUUUGCUUCUGCUGCAAGGUGGUGCGCAGAUGAGGAAAGAUGGAUGGUUUCCCACCGUCAACAACUGUCGACAUGAGUGCACGCACACACGCUCUGCAGAACAUCUGGAAAACUCUGCCCUGCUGACUGCGACUCCUUAUCCCACACCAAAUGAGUGAAAGCCAAAGAAAGCAUUAUUGACCUCUUAAAAUAUUUCUGAACUCUAGGAACAGUUAACCUAAAAUGAAGUUAAGAGUUGUUAUAGUUUAAUUAACUAAUAAAAAAAUGGAGGCAAAACCGCAACUCU